rnacentral:pre_miRNA from 2 species
GAGGAUGUAACAGUCUGGCAGUGCGCUAGCUGGCUGUUGUGUCUGAAGUGUCAACAGCUGCUAGCUGCACUCCAUAUUGUUUCAUUCAAA